UAACACAUGCAAGUCGAGCGGAAACGAGUUAUCUGAACCUUCGGGGAACGAUAACGGCGUCGAGCGGCGGACGGGUGAGUAAUGCCUAGGAAAUUGCCUUGAUGUGGGGGAUAACCAUUGGAAACGAUGGCUAAUACCGCAUGAUGCCUACGGGCCAAAGAGGGGGACCUUCGGGCCUCUCGCGUCAAGAUAUGCCUAGGUGGGAUUAGCUAGUUGGUGAGGUAAUGGCUCACCAAGGCGACGAUCCCUAGCUGGUCUGAGAGGAUGAUCAGCCACACUGGAACUGAGACACGGUCCAGACUCCUACGGGAGGCAGCAGUGGGGAAUAUUGCACAAUGGGCGCAAGCCUGAUGCAGCCAUGCCGCGUGUAUGAAGAAGGCCUUCGGGUUGUAAAGUACUUUCAGCAGUGAGGAAGGGGGUGUCGUUAAUAGCGGCAUUUCUUGACGUUAGCUGCAGAAGAAGCACCGGCUAACUCCGUGCCAGCAGCCGCGGUAAUACGGAGGGUGCGAGCGUUAAUCGGAAUUACUGGGCGUAAAGCGCAUGCAGGUGGUUUGUUAAGUCAGAUGUGAAAGCCCGGGGCUCAACCUCGGAACUGCAUUUGAAACUGGCAAACUAGAGUACUGUAGAGGGGGGUAGAAUUUCAGGUGUAGCGGUGAAAUGCGUAGAGAUCUGAAGGAAUACCAGUGGCGAAGGNGNGCCCCCUGGACAGAUACUGACACUCAGAUGCGAAAGCGUGGGGAGCAAACAGGGAUUANAUACCCUGGUAGUCCACGCCGUAAACGAUGUCUACUUG
rnacentral:rRNA from 1 species